rnacentral:rRNA from 1 species
UACGGGGGGGGCAAGCGUUGUUCGGAAUUACUGGGCGUAAAGGGCUCGUAGGCGGCCAACUAAGUCAGACGUGAAAUCCCUCGGCUUAACCGGGGAACUGCGUCUGAUACUGGAUGGCUUGAGAUUGGGAGAGGGAUGCGGAAUUCCAGGUGUAGCGGUGAAAUGCGUAGAUAUCUGGAGGAACACCGGUGGCGAAGGCGGCAUCCUGGACCGACACUGACGCUGAUGAGCGAAAGCCAGGGGAGCAAACGGG